rnacentral:rRNA from 1 species
CUCCUACGGGGGGCAGCAGUGAGGAAUAUUGGUCAAUGGGCGGUAGCCUGAACCAGCCAAGUAGCGUGAAGGAUGAAGGUUCUAUGGAUUGUAAACUUCUUUUAUAUGGGAAUAAAAUGUUCCACGUGUGGGAUUUUGUAUGUACCAUAUGAAUAAGGAUCGGCUAACUCCGUGCCAGCAGCCGCGGUAAUACGGAGGAUCCGAGCGUUAUCCGGAUUUAUUGGGUUUAAAGGGAGCGUAGGUGGAUUGUUAAGUCAGUUGUGAAAGUUUGCGGCUCAACCGUAAAAUUGCAGUUGAAACUGGCG